AUAGGUUGAUAGGACUAGAGAAAUUCAUGCUUAUAAAUUAUUUAAGACAAGUUGUAGAAUAGAGUAAGUUGUUCUAGAAAUGUUAGUUGCUACAGUUAUUAUUAAUAGUGUUCUUAUUGAAUCUGAAAUCCUAGAUAAUUGUGACCUCAGAGGUAUCAAGAAUGUAUAAGAAAAGCUUGUUAAAUUUCCUGUCGGGGAGAAGAAUUAAAAGGUACUAGGCAACAGAAAAUUGUGUUUUAAAUAUUUAAGAAAGACCACUAAAGGAACAAAAUGGGAAAGGAAAAUUCAGUCUUACAAAAGACCAGGAAAAAAAUGAAAACUAAAAAAAAUAUUAAAUUUGAAGGAUAUGGUAAAACCUAUAUGUAACAAAAUAAGUAUAAAGUAUAUUCUAAUAUAAUUUAGACUGGCUAAAAAUAAAUAAAACAUCUUUGUGCUAUAUAUGAAUCUCUCUAAACAAAGUGACAUAGAAAAAUAUUCUAGGUAAAUAUUAACAAAAACAAAAAUCUAGAGAGCAAUAUUAUCAGAUGAAAUAGAAUUUAAGUCCAAAACCAUAAUCUAGGAUAAGAGGUUAUUUCAUAUUAAUAAAAGUUAUAUUCCAAGAAGAAGAUGUAAUAGUCAUAUACCAUUAUAUAUCUAAAAGCAUAGUUCAAUAUAUAAAAAUUUUUAAAAAGAUACAUCAGGACAAUGCAAAUCAAAACCACAAUGACAUGCCAUUUCACAUGUAGUGAAUGGCUAUAAUCAAAGACCAUCACAAGUGCUGGUGAGGUUGGAGAAAUUGGAACCAUUAAUGAUAGAUAGAAACGUAAAAUGUUUCAGACACCUUGGAAAACAGUAUGGCAAUCCCUCAAAGAGUUAACAUAAAGAUGCCAUAUGACCUGGCUGUUCUACUCCUAUGUAUAUAUCCAAGACAAGGGUAAACAUAUGUCUACACAAAAAUUUGUACCUGAAUGUUCAGAGCAGCAUAUUCAUAAAAGCUAAAAAAAUGGAAAUAACCCAAAGGCCCAUCAACUGAUGAAAUGAUGUAUUUUUUUAAAUUUUUGUUUGUUUGUUUGUUUUUAGUUGUUGAUAGACUUUUAUUUAUUUAUUUAUAUGCGGUGCUGAGAAUCGAACCCAGUGCCUCACGCAUGCCAGGCAAGUGUGCUACCGCUGAGCCACAAUCCCAGCCCUGAAAUGAUAUUUUUAAAGGAGGCAUAUUCAUACAAUGAAAUGUUCUUUAAAGAACAAUAAAGAAGAAUAAAAUACUGAUUCAUGUUACAACAUAGGUGAACCAUGAAAACAUUAUGCUAAGUGAAAGAAGCCAGUCACAAAAAUCACAUAUUAUAUGUUUCUGUUAAUAUGAAAUAAUCCAGGCAAAAUGGCACAUACCUGUAAUAUCCCAGUGACUUGGGAGGCUGAGGCAGGAGAGUCAAAAGUUUGAGAUCUGUCUAGCAAAUUAGCAAGGUCCUGAGCAACUCAACCAGAACUUGUCUCAAAAUAAAAAGUAAAUGGGCUGGGGAUGUGACUCAGUGGUAAAGUACCCCUGGGUUAAAUCCCCAGUACCAGAAAAAGAAAGAAACAUAAUAGGAAAAUCCAUAGAGACAGAAAAUAGAUUAGUGGUUGUCUAGGGCUAAAGAGGUUGGGGGAAAUGGAGAGUGACUGCUAAUGGGUAUGGAAUUUGGGACGAUGAAAAUGUUCAAAAUUGAUUGUGGUCAUGGCUGCACAACUCUGUGACUAUAUUAAUAAUUACUAAAAGGUAUACUUUGAGUGAACUGUAUGAUAUGUCAAUUAUAUAUUAGAAAAGCUCAUAUAAAUGCAAACACUAAGGCAGAUAGAAACAUUAAAACCGGCAAAUAAACAUGCAGAUUUUUUUUAAAAAAGCAAUUAUAGUGCAAUUGUUUGAUCAUGUAGGCAUAGCAAAUUAUUCUAUGGAGCCUUAAAUGUGUCCACUGUAUUCACUAAUGUGGGAUGGGACCUGGGCUCCAUAGCUUUAGUUCAGCUCCCACUGCUCUGGCAUGGCAGCUGUGAUUCCAGGCCCAGAUUCUGAUACCAACUUACUCUGGGCCCUGGAGGCUUAUGCCACCUCCUCCAGGUCUCAGUUUCUUCACCUGUAAAAUAAGAAGGAAGCAGACUGUGUGAUCACAAAGAACUCUUUGCACUUAUAUCCCAUGAGGACAGGUGUCUCCAGGGUUUCCUUAAUCUUGGCAUAGGUCCUGGCAUUUCCUCCUGUCAGGAGCGUAAGCCCCAAGUGAUCAGCCACAGCACCUGAAUGGUAAUCAUGCAGAGAGAGAGAGGUUGGAGUUUGUAUUCAUUUUAUUCUGUACAGACCAUUGGUAAUCUGGUUCUCCUUUCAUUUGAGUUUGUAAAGAUUAUAUGGCGCCUUCUGUUUAAGGUAUUUUUCUUUGCAAGUGUAUAUGAUUUUUUUUUUUUUAACUCAUAGGAUUUUCUUGCCGGGCAUGGUGACUCACACCGGUAACCCCAGUGGCUUGGGAGGCUGAGACAGGAGGAUAGUGAAUUCAAAGCCAGCCUCAGCAACUAAGCAACUCAGUGAGACCCUGUCUCUAAAUGAAAUACAAAAUAGGGCUGGGGAUGUGGCUCAGUGGUUGAGUGACCCUGAGUUCAAUCUCUGGUACUCCCUCCCAUAAAAUAUUUUCUUUAUUUGCAUUUUUUUUUCUAGCAGCCUUCUGAGUUCUUUCAAAAAAUUCUAAACAACUUUGGCCAGAGGUAGAUAAAGCAAUGAGGGGACUUGCUACUUUGGAUUUAGUUUUGACCAACCAGUUAGAAGUGAUGGAAAUGAUGGGGUAAAGUCAACUGGCAGGUUGAUAUCAUGAUAUGAUAAAUGAAUAUGCAAGUUAGGGUGAGACCUAGAUUUGAAUCUUGGCUCAUGAAUUAGAUGCAUGACUGUGGUCCUGUUAAAUCACCUCUCUGAGCCUUGUUUUCUUAUCAAUAAAACGAAUGCCUUAUCUUAUGGAGUUGUAAUAUUUGAGAUAAUAUUUCGUCCAAGUCUACCACAGGCAACGGAAUUGGGGUUCCUCUGCGUGAAGUGGCUGUCUGCAGAAUAAAAGCUAAUAAAGAGAAAACAGCAAAAAACCCACGGUACACAGGAAGUAAUCAAAAAGAUGGGGUAGGAUGGCUCUCUGAUCUUAGAGAUUGAGCUUCCACACUGGAAAGAGAGAGAGAUGGAGCUCGUGCUUGCUAUAUUUAUAUGGGGGGGGGGCAUCAAAGGUUUUCCAUGGAAUGUUAUUUACCAAAUAAGGUAGGGGGUGGGUGUCCAGUUCCCAAUGGGUUAUGCCCAUUGGAGUUACGAGAGCUGUCUCACUAGAGGGAAGACAGAGAUCUCACACCUGGGGCAGUCUGAUACACAUGGGAAAGCUGGGGUCAUUCCCAAGGAAAAAAAUCUAAGUCUNCAACUUACAAGGA
rnacentral:lncRNA from 1 species